CCCCACUGCUAUCGGGAUGGGACUAAGACAUGCUAGUCAAGCGCCUUCCAGCCAUGUGGGAGGUGCGGCGCACAGCUCAGUAACACGUGGCUAACCUGCCCUUGGGAUAGGGAUAACCCCGGGAAACUGGGGCUAAUCCCCAAUAGGCGAAGGCUCCUGGAAUGGAUCUUCACCCGAAAAGACCCUAGAUCAUGCUUCUAGGCGUCGCCCAAGGAUGGGGCCGCGUCCGAUCAGGUUGUUGGUGAGGUAAUGGCUCACCAAGCCUUUUACCGGUGCGGGCCGUGAGAGCGGGAGCCCGGAGAUGGGCACUGAGACAAGGGCCCAGGUCCUACGGGGCGCAGCAGUCGCGAAACCUUUGCAAUACACGCAAGUGUGACAGGGUCAUCCCGAGUGCCGACCGCUGAGGUUGGCUUUUACCCAGUCUAGAAAGCUGGGGGAAUAAGGAGAGGGCAAGUCUGGUGUCAGCCGCCGCGGUAAUACCAGCUCUCCGAGUGGUGUGGACGUUUAUUGGGCCUAAAGCAUCCGUAGCUGGCUGAACAAGUCCCCUGUUAAACCCACCGAUUUAAUCGUUGGCUUGCGGGGGAUACUGCUCGGCUAGGGGACGAGAGAGGCAGACGGUAUUCCCGGGGUAGGGGUGAAAUCCUAUAAUCCCGGGAAGACCACCAGUGGCGAAGGCUGUCUGCUAGAACGCGCCCGACGGUGAGGGAUGAAAGCUGGGGGAGCGAACCGAAUUAGAUACCCGGGUAGUCCCAGCUGUAAACGAUGCAGGCUAGGUGUUUGGACGGCCACGUGCCGUUCUAGUGCCGCAGGGAAGCUGUUAAGCCUGCCGCCUGGGGAGUACGGUCGCAAGAUUGAAACUUAAAGGAAUUGGCGGGGGAGCACCACAAGGGGUGAAGCUUGCGGUUU
rnacentral:rRNA from 1 species